GACGAACGCUGGCGGCGUGCUUAACACAUGCAAGUCGAGCGGUAAGGCCCUUUCGGGGGUACACGAGCGGCGAACGGGUGAGUAACACGUGGAUGACCUGCCCUCAGCUCUGGGAUAAGCCUGGGAAAUCGGGUCUAAUACCGGAUAUGACUCCAUGACGCAUGUUGUGGGGUGGAAAGCCUUGUGCGGCUGAGGAUGGGCCCGCGGCCUAUCAGCUUGUUGGUGGGGUGAUGGCCUACCAAGGCGACGACGGGUAGCCGGCCUGAGAGGGCGACCGGCCACACUGGGACUGAGACACGGCCCAGACUCCUACGGGAGGCAGCAGUGGGGAAUCUUGCGCAAUGGGCGAAAGCCUGACGCAGCGACGCCGCGUGAGGGAUGACGGCCU
rnacentral:rRNA from 1 species